rnacentral:rRNA from 1 species
CAUGCAAGUCGAGCGAGAAAACCUCCGCAAGGGGGCGAGUAAAGCGGCGCACGGGUGAGUAGCACGUGGGUGACGUACCCUCCGUUGGGGGAUAACACCUCGCAAGGGGUGCUAAUACCGCGUACGACCCUUCGACCACGGUCGGAGGGUGAUAGGAGCAAUCCGGCGGAGGAUCGGCCCGCGGCCCAUCAGCUUGUUGGCGGGGUAAAGGCCCACCAAGGCGAUGAGGGGUAGCUGGUCUGAGAGGAUGGCCAGCCACACUGGAACUGAGACACGGUCCAGACUCCUACGGGAGGCAGCAGUGGGGAAUCUUGCGCAAUGGGCGAAAGCCUGACGCAGCGACGCCGCGUGGGUGACGAAGGCCUUCGGGUCGUAAAGCCCUGUGGGGAGGGACGAACAAGCAGCAAUGCCCUGACGG